rnacentral:rRNA from 1 species
UAAGACGAACCGUGCGAACGUUGUUCGGAAUCACUGGGCUUAAAGGGCGCGUAGGCGGGUGAGCAAGUCUAGGGUGAAAUCCUCCGGCUUAACCGGAGAAGUGCCUUAGAUACUGCUUGUCUCGAGGGAGGUAGGGGUCAUCGGAACUUCUGGUGGAGCGGUGAAAUGCGUUGAUAUCAGAAGGAACGCCGGUGGCGAAAGCGGAUGACUGGACCUCUUCUGACGCUGAGGCGCGAAAGCUAGGGGAGCGAACGGGAUUAGAUACCCCGGUAGUCCUAGCCCUAAACGUUGGGUACUAGAUUGUAGACUUGCAUGGGUUUACAGUCGAAGCAAAAGUACUAAGUACCCCGCCUGGGGAGUAUGGUCGCAAGGCUG